ACGCUAGCUACAGGCUUAACACAUGCAAGUCGAGGGGCAGCAUGUUGGUUGCUUGCAACCAAUGAUGGCGACCGGCGCACGGGUGAGUAACGCGUAUCCAACCUACCCAAUACUCAGGCAUAACCCGUUGAAAGACGGACUAAUUCCUGAUGGUAUGUAUUUCUCUCAUGAGUUAUACAUUAAAGAAUUUCGGUAUUGGAUGGGGAUGCGUCUGAUUAGUUUGUUGGUGAGGUAACGGCUCACCAAGACUUCGAUCAGUAGGGGUUCUGAGAGGAAGGUCCCCCACAUUGGAACUGAGACACGGUCCAAACUCCUACGGGAGGCAGCAGUGAGGAAUAUUGGUCAAUGGAUGCAAAUCUGAACCAGCCAAGUAGCGUGCAGGAUGACGGCCCUAUGGGUUGUAAACUGCUUUUAUGUGAGAAUAAAGUUAGGUAUGUAUACUUAUUUGCAUGUAUCACAUGAAUAAGGACCGGCUAAUUCCGUGCCAGCAGCCGCGGUAAUACGGAAGGUCCAGGCGUUAUCCGGAUUUAUUGGGUUUAAAGGGUGCGUAGGCCGUUUGAUAAGCGUGCUGUGAAAUAUAGUGGCUCAACCUCUAUCGUGCAGCGCGAACUGUUGAACUUGAGUGCGUAGUAGGUAGGCGGAAUUCGUGGUGUAGCGGUGAAAUGCUUAGAUAUCACGAAGAACUCCGAUUGCGAAGGCAGCUUACCGUAACGUUACUGACGCUUAAGCACGAAGGUGCGGGUAUCGAACAGGAUUAGAUACCCUGGUAGUCCGCACAGUAAACGAUGGAUGCUCGCUGUUGGCCUUUAAUGGUCAGUGGCUUAGCGAAAGCGUUAAGCAUCCCACCUGGGGAGUACGCCGGCAACGGUGAAACUCAAAGGAAUUGACGGGGGCCCGCACAAGCGGAGGAACAUGUGGUUUAAUUCGAUGAUAC
rnacentral:rRNA from 1 species